rnacentral:rRNA from 1 species
GACGAACGUUGGCGGCGUGCCUAAUACAUGCAAGUCAACUGAAAUACCGGUAGCAAUACUGGUAUGGAGGUGGCGCACGGGUGAGUAACACGUAGGUAAUCUGCCUUCAGGUCUGACAUAACCCAUCGAAAGGUGAGCUAAUAUCAGAUGAUGCAGCGGCUUGACAUCAAGACAGUUGUUAAAGCUUCGGCGCCUGAAGAUGAGCCUGCGUCUGAUUAGCUAGUUGGCGGGGUAACGGCCCACCAAGGCUGCGAUCAGUAGCUGGUCUGAGAGGAUGAUCAGUCACACUGGAACUGAGACACGGUCCAGACUCCUACGGGAGGCAGCAGUAAGGAAUAUUGCUCAAUGGCCGAAAGGCUGAAGCAGCAACGCCGCGUGAGGGAUGAAGGG